rnacentral:snRNA from 1 species
GGAUGUGAGGGCAAUCUGGCUGCGACAUCUGUCACCCCAUUGAUCGCCAGGGUCGAUUUGGCUGAUCUGGCUGGCUAGGCGGGUGUCCCCUUCCUCCCUCACCGCUCCAUGGGCGUCCCUCCCAAAGCUGCGCACUCGGUCGAAGAGGACGACCUUCCCCGAUAGAGGAGGACCGUUCUUCGCUCAAGGGUCUACGAGUAGCUGGGCUCCUCUGCUAGAACCUCCAACCAAGCUCUCAAGAAGUGAUAUGAACGAAUGCUUGCUUGUUUCUUGCAGGGCUACUUGAAAAAAAAAAGUAUUU